CUUCCCUUGGUGUAGAUGGUUUAUCACGUUCGGCUGUAAUAGAAAAUUGUUACCGAAAGGUCCUUGGUUCGAUUCCGAGAGGGAAGA